rnacentral:tRNA from 1 species
GAGAUGCUGCCGCGCGUAGUUGAGCGCGUUCUGGAUGCGAUCGGACUUGGGUGCGAGCUCGAGCAUCUCC